GCUUAUUAUGGAAGUUUUGUAAAGAGUUUAUGAGCUUAUUUCAUGAGGCAACCAACAAAGAAGUCAUACCUUUUGUAGUAAUUAUUUUUUUACCAAUUAAAAAUUUAAGAAAUGUGCAACCUGUAGACAACGAAAAAAAUUGUCGUGCUACAUACUCGUCCGGCUGUUUUAACAAGAGCACGUUCACCAUGGAAAAUUUAAGAAUGGAACCAGUGGAAAGACGUAAUAUAAUAAUUCGUGUUUAUCUUGUUGGAAUAGGAAGUAUAAGAAGCUCUCACAGAUUUGUAACAGCUUUUGUAGCAUUCGCCGCAUUGUACCUGGCCCUCCAUAUCAUUAUGCUCUUAGCAUAUGUGGAUUUAACAUUGGCCCUGCGCUUUUUUAGAAUGAGAAACUUCGCCGGACAUAUUGUACGUGUUUGUUAUAUUUAAUUGUAUUUUUUAUUGAUGUGGAUUAAAUUUUGUUGUGAGUUUUAUGUGAAAGAUGUAAAGUUUGUGUAUUACAAUUUUAAUUGUCUGACGAUGUAAUUUUAUAAUGAUUAAUUAACCACAAUAUGAUUAGAAUUACAUAAAAUAUAAAUUUAUGUAUAAAUUCUCAAUUACUAUAAAAAAUAAAAAUUUGCAACAAA